UCUAAACGACUCUCGGCAACGGAUAUCUCGGCUCUCGCAUCGAUGAAGAACGUAGCGAAAUGCGAUACUUGGUGUGAAUUGCAGAAUCCCGUGAACCAUCGAGUCUUUGAACGCAAGUUGCGCCCGAAACCAUUCGGUUGAGGGCACGUCUGCCUGGGCGUCACGC
rnacentral:rRNA from 7 species